UGCGUAGGCGGUUGGGUAAGUCAGACGUGAAAUUCCAGGGCUCAACCCUGAAACUGCGUUUGAUACUGCCUGACUAGAGUACUGGAGAGGAGACUGGAAUUCACGGUGUAGCAGUGAAAUGCGUAGAUAUCGUGAGGAAGACCAGUGGCGAAGGCGAGUCUCUGGACAGUAACUGACGCUGAGGCACGAAGGCUAGGGGAGCAAACG
rnacentral:rRNA from 1 species